AUCUAACUGACGAGUCCUGAAUAGGACGAAACGCGCGUCCUGGAU
rfam:Schistosoma rodhaini strain Burundi genome assembly, scaffold: SROB_scaffold0001396